rnacentral:rRNA from 1 species
GAUUAACGCUAGCGGCAGGCCUAAUACAUGCAAGUCGAACGGGAUUAGUUGUAGCAAUACGACUAUGAGAGUGGCGCACGGGUGCGUAACACGUAUGCAACCUACUUGUAACUGGGGGAUAGCCUCCCGAAAGGGAGAUUAAUACCGCAUAAAAUUAUGAAGUGGCAUCACUUUAUAAUCAAACCUCCGGGGGUUACAGAUGGGCAUGCGUCCGAUUAGCUAGUUGGUGAGGUAACGGCUCACCAAGGCUCCGAUCGGUAGGGGGUCUGAGAGGAUGAUCCCCCACACUGGUACUGAGACACGGACCAGACUCCUACGGGAGGCAGCAGUAAGGAAUAUUGGACAAUGGGCGCAAGCCUGAUCCAGCCAUGCCGCGUGAAGGAUUGAAGGCCCUAUGGGUCGUAAACUUCUUUUAUACGGGACAAAACCCCUUGAUGCGUCGAGGGUUGAUGGUACUGUAAGAAUAAGGGUCGGCUAACUCCGUGCCAGCCGCCGCCGUAACAC